UACGUAGGGGGCGAGCGUUGUUCGGAUUUACUGGGCGUAAAGGGCGCGUAGGCGGUCAGCACAAGUCAGUUGUGAAAUCUCCGGGCUUAACCCGGAAAGGUCAACUGAUACUGUGCGACUAGAGUGCGGAAGGGGCAACUGGAAUUCUCGGUGUAGCGGUGAAAUGCGUAGAUAUCGAGAGGAACACCUGCGGCGAAGGCGGGUUGCUGGGCCGACACUGACGCUGAUGCGCGAAAGCCAGGGGAGCGAACGGG
rnacentral:rRNA from 1 species